AUGAGCGAAAACAAGAACCUCGUUCUAUUUGCCACCAAACAUGAGAUGAGAGAAGUGUGUGAGAACCCAUCUAGUGUCUUACACUACGUCCUCGUGUGCAAGGACAAUGCACCACAAACUAACACUUCUCACACUCUUCCUCUAGUGUUGUCUUCUCUUUUGCAGGAAUUUCAAGAUGUUUUCCCCGAUGAGCUACCUCCGGGACUACCUCCACUACGAGGCAUUGAGCACCGCAUCGACCUCAUCCCUGGAGCACUGCUUCCGAACAAAGCUCCCUACCGCGUCAACCCCGAUGAAACCAAAGAAAUUCAAAGGCAAGUAAAGCAUCUCAUAGACCAUGGACAUGUGCGUGAAAGUUUGAGCCCUUGUGUCGUACUGGUCAUUCUUGUGCCAAAACGUGACGGUAGUUUUCGCAUGUGCUCCGAUUGUAGACCUAUCAAUGCUAUCACCGUUCGUUAUAGGUAUCCCAUUCCACGACUAGAUGAUAUGCUAGAUGAGCUUAGUGGUGCCACUAUAUUUUCCAAAAUUGAUCUUAUGAGUGGUUACUAUCAAAUCCACAUACAAGAGGGUGAUGAAUGGAAAACCGCAUUCAAAACCAAGUUUGGUUUGUAUGAGUGGUUAGUCAUGCCUAUGGGUCUCUCGGAAGCAUCGGGUACUUUUAUGCCCCUUAUGAAUCAUGUCUUUCGCCCUUACAUUGGUAUAUUUGUUGUGGUUUAA
rnacentral:rRNA from 1 species